rnacentral:lncRNA from 1 species
ACAUGUGGGAUUUAGCUCCCCAACCAGGGAUCAAACCCGAACCCCCUACAUUGGAAAGCAAAGUCUUAACCACUGGAUCACCAGGGAAGUCCUAACUCAUAAAGAUUUGACAACAAAUCAUUCUAGUAAAGCUGUGCACACUGGGGAAAGCAACAUUAAUUCUGGGAAUAGAAUUUUAAUAUUUUUGAGCUAUACUUGGGAAAUUAAAAAAAAAGAAAAGAACUUGACCUUCUAGCAUGGCACUCUAGAAAUGUCAAGUCAAAAUAAGUCAAAUAAAAAUAAGUCUGAAAAGUGAGUAGAAAAAAGUAGAUAUCCUAUAUUUGGGGGUGUCAAGGUGGCAGACACCCUGGUUGAGUGGAGCUUUGAUGGCAGCUUCAGAAAUUCUAAGACCUCUUAAUGUUUUUGAGUCUUCAGUCUUUGAAUUUUAUUCCAAUUCUAUCUUACUUAUUUCUGAUUGGCUUACUUGACAUUUCAGACAUAGUCAAACACCAGUAGUUGGUUUUCAACUCCCAAGCUUUCUUUCAUCUGUUACAAUCCGCACUAAUUGGGAGAACUUCACAGCAAUCCUGGGUGGUGUAUUUGCCUUGUUUCUUAAUGUUUUACAGCUUUGAUUCUGGAUGCUGGAUUCCAGAUCAGCAGCAGCAGCACCAGCACCACCACAUGGCCCCUUGUUACAGGCCCACCCCAGACCUAUGGAGCUGGUGCAGGAAUCUGUGUUUUCAUUAUGAUGGUUGCUGAAAUUUGAAAAACCACUGUUUUAUACUCACUAGCCAGGACACAUCAUAAGACAAGAAAGAGAAAAUCUGAAACCUGUCAUGGAUUAUUUGGCUAAGGCAUAUCAACUGCCACAACAACGGGUAUAGAAGAAAGGAAGCGUGAUGGAAGGAAAGGACUGGAUGAAUCAGAAAUCUGCAUUAGGGGAAAAUGCUGGCAUACCCCGCUCUGCAUCAUCUCAGGCUCUUUGCUUCUGCUUCUCCAGCAAUCUGACACAUCUCCUGGGUUUUUAGAUAGUGAGUCAAAUUCUGUUCCUUCUUUCUUGCCUUUAAUGAUUAUUUGUAGGGCACCGGAUACCAAGCAGGACCCUAUGGGGCUCCUAGGCACAAAAACCUCCCUGUGUUCCCCAUUUCUUGAUUACAGGAAAUAGGCUUCAUUCAGCUUCCUUGAACUCCCCUGAGUUCCAGCGGCAGGUUCAAACAGAGGCUAAUUAGGGAAGGGAGGAGACUGAGAGAGAAGGGAGGGACAGUCAAGAAACAAUAGGGGUAGCGUCCUGAUAGUGAAGGAAAUGAGUACGUGCUCAGUCAUGUCAGACUUUUAGUGACCCAUGGACUCUAG